rnacentral:rRNA from 1 species
GACGAACGCUGGCGGCGUGCUUAACACAUGCCAGUCGAACGGAAAGGCCCUGCUUUUGUGGGGUGCUCGAGUGGCGAACGGGUGAGUAACACGUGAGUAACCUGCCCUUGACUUUGGGAUAACUUCAGGAAACUGGGGCUAAUACCGGAUAGGAGCUCCUGCUGCAUGGUGGGGGUUGGAAAGUUUCGGCGGUUGGGGAUGGACUCGCGGCUUAUCAGCUUGUUGGUGGGGUAGUGGCUUACCAAGGCUUUGACGGGUAGCCGGCCUGAGAGGGUGACCGGCCACAUUGGGACUGAGAAACGGCCCAGACUCCUACGGGAGGCAGCAGUGGGGAAUAUUGCACAAUGGGCGGAAGCCUGAUGCAGCAACGCCGCGUGCGGGAUGACGGCCUUCGGGUUGUAAACCGCUUUCGCCUGUGACGAAGCGUGAGUGACGGUAAUGGGUAAAGAAGCACCGGCUAACUACGUG